GGACGACAGGAAUAUAACUAGCCAAAGCGGUACAAACAAGAAGAUAAGCAGGCAAAGUUUCUAUUUUACUAUUUAGCUAAUUAUGCAACAAUGUGUUCGAUUACAUCAAAGCAAACGUUUCAUUUUAAAGACCAAAAAAGGAGAAGGAUAAAGAGAUGUGAAGCAAUAUCAAAUAUCAGUACAAGAUUUAAAAAUCUUGCCAGCAAAGAAAUUCCUAAAGAAUGUGUUACAGGGUGGAUUGCAGGCAAUGUGGAAAGUACACUUGGGGUGGUUGUGGGAAACAUCUAUCCACACUCUAUGCCAGCAUAGAUGUGGGAAAACACUGCAUGUGCCGAUCAUGGCCUGGCGUUGUCAUACCAUCCACAACUAAUGCGACAAACAACAACAAUAAUAAGCAACCUGCAACCCCAGUUUCAGGUAACCAGCAAUCUUCAUAAAUGCUGUGGAUGCAUGCCAGAUGUCAGAGGGUGCUGCCUUAAGAGUAAUGAUAGGGCUAAUAUAUGAAGAAAUUAAGCAGAGGAAUAAAGAAAGGGGUUGGUUAUUUUAGACUGGUUUUCCCACAAACACUGUCAAUUCUCGUUGAUAAUCGUCAAUGACGAAUCUGUCUUUCCACGUGUAUGAAUUAUUGAACUAUUAUACGAAAUCUUGUAGUCUCUUCAUUUAUAUAAUAAAAUCGUACAUGCCAUCGAGGCCUAUUAGCUCA